AUUGAACGCUGGCGGCAGGCCUAACACAUGCAAGUCGAGCGAGCGGCGGACGGGUGAGUAAUGUAUGGGGACUGCCCGAUAGAGGGGGAUAACUACUGGAAACGGUGGCUAAUACCGCAUACUAUCGGAUAACCCAUAUGGGAUUAUCUAGUAGGUGGGGUAAAGGCUCACCUAGGCGACGAUCUCUAGCUGGUCUGAGAGGAUGAUCAGCAACACGGGGACUGAGACACGGCCCAUACUCCUACGGGGGCAGCAGUGGGGAAUAUUGCACAGUGGGGGCAACCCGGACGCAGCCAUGCCGCGGGAGUGAAGAAGGUCUUCGGGGUUUAAAGUUCGUUCGGUAGCGAGGCGUUAACUACAGAAGAAGCACCGGCUAACUCCGUGCCAGCAGCCGCGGUAAUUC
rnacentral:rRNA from 1 species